rnacentral:rRNA from 1 species
GACGAACGCUGACGGCGUGCUUAACACAUGCAAGUCGAACGGAAAGGCCCUGCUUUUGUGGGGUGCUCGAGUGGCGAACGGGUGAGUAACACGUGAGUAACCUGCCCUUGACUUUGGGAUAACUUCAGGAAACUGGGGCUAAUACCGGAUAGGAGCUCCUGCUGCAUGGUGGGGGUUGGAAAGUUUCGGCGGUUGGGGAUGGACUCGCGGCUUAUCAGCUUGUUGGUGGGGUAGUGGCUUACCAAGGCUUUGACGGGUAGCCGGCCUGAGAGGGUGACCGGCCACAUUGGGACUGCGAUACGGCCCAGACUCCUACGGGAGGCAGCAGUGGGGAAUAUUGCACAAUGGGCGGAAGCCUGAUGCAGCAACGCCGCGUGCGGGAUGACGGCCUUCGGGUUGUAAACCGCUUUCGCCUGUGACGAAGCGUGAGUGACGGUAAUGGGUAAAGAAGCACCGGCUAACUACGUG